CUUCUGUAGCAGACUGAACAAUUGCCUUUGCAGACUCAGUUCCAAGAGAGAGAAGUUAGCAGUCUUCAAUCCUCUAAUGGACUAAAUAGCAGGAGAUUUGCGUAUGAGGAUGAGCACCCAGGAGAGGAAGAUGGGAUUCAGCAGAUGUGCCCC